GCCACCUCCAGCCUCCCCCCCCCACUUCCAUUUCCUGUCACCGCCAUGGAUAGCUUGCUUUCUUCUGUGGCUUUUCUCCAGGGCACAGUCAUUCCCGGCCCCCCGAAAGCACCCCUUCCCCACCCCACCCCACCCCCCGUGUGCGUUUUUAACCAAAUGAAGCAGAUGAGAAAGGCGUGGGGGGGGGGGGCAGCAGACUUUCUAGUUUAGUAGAUCUGUGUAGAUAGAGAUGUUGAUAUAUAUGUUUGUGUAGAUAUAUAUCAAACCAAAUUCUGAUAGGAAAGUAUAGCUUUACGGAUGAGGAGGACGUCGGAGCCGUGGUGCUGCGAGCUCCGGCCUG